GACGAACGCUGGCGGCGUGCUUAACACAUGCAAGUCGAACGGAAAGGCCCUGCUUUUGUGGGGUGCUCGAGUGGCGAACGGGUGAGUAACACGUGAGUAACCUGCCCUUGACUUUGGGAUAACUUCAGGAAACUGGGGCUAAUACCGGAUAGGAGCUCCUGCUGCAUGGUGGGGGUUGGAAAGUUUCGGCGGUUGGGGAUGGACUCGCGGCUUAUCAGCUUGUUGGUGGGGUAGUGGCUUACCAAGGCUUUGACGGGUAGCCGGCCUGAGAGGGUGACCGGCGAGAGUGGGACUGAGGUACGGCCCGGACGACGCCGGGAGGCAGAAGGGGGGGAGGUUGCAGGAUGGGCGGGGGCGUGAUGCCGCAACGCCGUGUGCGGGAUGAGGGGUUACGGGUUGGAAAAAGGUGCCGCCUGUGAAGAAGGGGGAGUGAGGGGAGUGGGUAAAGAAGCCACGGCUAACUAGGUG
rnacentral:rRNA from 1 species